AUUUCAGCCCACAUCUAGAUUUGAGUCCAAAACUAAUGAAAAUCCAUAUAAAUAAACUUCUCAAUCCAAAACCCAAAAUCCACAAAUAAAAUCCCAAAAAUUCAAAGUCCACAAAUAAAAUCCCAAAACCCAAAGUCCACAAAUAAAAUCCAAAAUUCAAAGUCGACAAAUAAAAUCCAACCAAAUCUAUCAAACCUAUGUCAUCCAAAUGCCUCCAACCCAAACCGAAUUUAUGGGCUUUCCAAAUUGGCCCCUUAUUAUUAAUUAAUUCUAUGAAUUAAAUUUUAAGGGUUUUCCAAAUGGGCCCCUUAUUAUGAAUUAAUUCUAUAAAUUAAUUUCUUGGGCUUUCCAAAUCGGCCCCUUAUCAUGAAUUAAUUCUACGAAUUAAUUUCAUGGGCUUGCCAUGUAACAUACCGGAUUUUGAUAUAACAGUAAAAAAUAAAUAAAAAUAGUGUGAGAUGCUAUUUUUAUUGAAUUUAGAGAAAUAAAAUAUAAGUCAGAAGUGACUUGUGCUGAAAUCGGAAUGAAAACAGAAGAUUUAGAAUUUUCUGUGAGAAACGGGGCUGAUAUUUUAGCAGAAAAUGCAUAGUGUCAGAAAAUUAUGAAAACUGGAGAGUAUGUCGGAAUUAUUUUUAUGGGGCUAGAUUUAAAGUUUCAUAUUAUUCUGACACCCGGAAGGUGAAAAAUAAAAUCCGACUGCUAUCUGCUAGAGAUUACGGUUCGGUAGAGCUUUUGGUGACCAAAUAUAGUCGAAACUGAAAGAUUAAAAUUUCUUUCGUCAAAUUAAGUAAAAUCGAGCCUGACUGUCAAAUUUGAGCUCAAACGGACAUUCAGAAGGGCAGGCGCAAAAUAUCUGUACCUGAGCUGAAAGUUGAAUUGUGUUGAGGGGUUAUUUAUAAAAGGGAUUUUUGACCCUUUUCUUCUCCUCCCUCAGCCGACCACCACCACCCCCACAGCAUACACACACGUAUGGUCAGGGAGAGAGAGAAACCCUUCCUUUCUCUCUCUAGAUUUCUCCCUCAUCUCUCUAGAUCUCUCACUCAAAUUCGCGGCGUUGGCGGAGAGCGAGCUUGCGAACGCGUUGGGAGCGUCGGAUCGAGCCUUCAUGCGCCUUGUUGAGCGGCGUGCUUUCGUCUCGACGUUCACAUUUUGGUAAGCUUUUGGGAUUUGGUUUAAUCCUUAUGCUUAAGUGUUCUAAUGGCCUCUAAUGUGUUGUUAACAUGUUAAAUCCUUAAUACUUGGGUUAAUUGGAGCUUGGUUGAGGUAAGCUUAAUGCUCUUUAAUGGUAGAUCUUUAGAGCUUCAUUUGUAUGCCCUAGAAAUGGAUUUAGUAGAAUCCUUAGAUGCUAAAUAGAUUACUAUUGCAUGAAUUAAGAGAUUAUGUGAUGAUUUCUUACAAUAGUGCAUCUUAGGCUCAAAAAUGGGAUUUUGCAAAAUGUAAGGGUUUAAUCUAAAUUAACCCUAUGUAAACCUAAUUGCUAGGUAUACGAACGCGUUGGCGAAGUCGGUUCGGCGAUUCGUCGAGUCUAUGCGAAGAUAUUGAAGAAACGGACGUUUCGGCUUUGUUUCAGCCUGGAGGGCCGAGGUGACGUCCAAAAAUCACGAGAACGGAUCCGGAGCAUUGUGGCAUCAAGUUAUAGAUCUUAAAAUUUCGGAUUGUGGAUUGGUGGCCGUUUGGUGGUCAAGUGCAAGUUCGAGCCGAACCGGGCGGCGGGUGCCGCGGGAGCCCGAUUGCAAGUGACUACAAGCAAUCGGAGAGCGAUAUUAGGUGGGUUGUGCUCUACCGAAGCGAUUAGAUCGCUUCCAUGUCAAAGUGGAGUAUGGUUUUCUAAUUGAUGCAUAUAUACAUAAUGGUAGUUAUAAAUGCAUUGAUUAAUGCUAGUUGAAUGCAUGUUGCAUGUUAUAAGAAUGCCAAGUGAAUACAUGAUAAGCAUGUGGUUAAUGCUAAGAAAAUAAAUGAUGUACUGCACGAAAUGUAUAUUAUAACGCGGUAAGCUUUACAUACUACUAGAACUACGUGAAAUGACAUGUUCCGCAAUGUGAGACAUAAUAUAAGUAUACCCUACUUAUAUAUUAAUGAUUAUAAAUAUAAUAUUAUAUGAUAUUAUAUAUAUAUAUAUUAGGAUCGAGUUGCAUUGAACCUAGUGUUCAAGGACAUAGGUUAGUAAGAGUAAUAUUGAACCUAGUGUUAAUAAUAAUAGGUUGAACAAGUGUGGCAUCGAACUAGUGUUAAUAAACAUAGGUGAACAAGUGUGGCAUCGAACCUUGUCACGCGCCGAGGUCCCUUUCAGUUUAAAAGAUAGCGGAAAAAGCGUCGGACAUUUUUUUUGAAAAUCUGACCCAGAGUAUGCGAGCUGCCACAAAUACAAGGGGAAUCCACUUUCACACGGACAGAGUCUCCCCUGUUUUGCACCGGCGUCGCACAAGUACAAGAGUUUCAAAACAUUAUACAACCACAACCAUAUGAAAUACAAAUGACCAACAGAAUAUACAUUCAUACACCAUUCCACAGGUUCACAUUAAUACAUCGAUAUUUAAAUAUAAAUCCCACAUCUAUCAGUAAAAUGGUUUCAGCCACAGAAACAGGUUUUGAAAUUCUAAGAUACAAGAUCCACAGAAACCUUUGAAAGCAGUUCCCUACACAGGAACUUUUAUCUUUAUAAAACGCUACCACGAGGCAGUAGAAAAUCUUUUAUUUUACAAAUUCAAAAUUUUUAUUACAUUCAUGAAAAUCCAAUUUUUAAAGUAUAAAAAUACUGAACCAGGUAAACUAUCUAAACCAUGUCAACAGAAAUGUAAGGGUAGGAACUAAACCAAUACCCUAGGUCGGAAGACUCUAUCGACCGCUACGAACGUACCUCACGUCUCUUGCCCAAAACUCAUCGCCUGCAAUACCUGAAAAAAUGGUGGGGGGGGGGGGGGGUGAGGAACAUGUAAACAUGUCUCCCCUCCAGUGGGUACCGUAAGCGGAGAUGACGAGGUACUCACUAGUUACGGAGAACUAAAUAGAUCUAAAUGCUUGUAAAGUAAAGAUGCCUGAUAAGUAGGGAGCUGACAAGUAUAGAUACAGGUAAAUAAAACAGUAGCUACAAUAAACAGAUAAGAUGUACUGGAAUAAGCCCACUACAGCUACUGUAUGCAUGCGUCAACUGACGAUAACCUCAAAAGUACCCAAUCUCGCCUGCCUAUUGUCGAAAGACCUCAGGCCCAUGCCACACUGCUCACCCAUGUACCUGACCCUCGCAAUGAAGCCCCUAGGUUCGAAGCAUAUCUCGCUGCCCUAUUGGUCGAAGACCUCCAGGCCAUUCCACACUGCUCACCCAUGUACCUGACCCUCGCAAUGAAGCCUGGGUCCGAAGCAUAUCUCGUCUGAUGCCCGUAUUGGUCCAGAAGCCUCAGGCCCAUGCCACACUGCUCACCCGUGUACCUGACCCUCGCAAUGAAGCCCUGAGUCCAAAGCAUAUACCUCGCAAUAAAGCGCCUGGGGCUCACGGUGGCCAAUCGACACCACUUUCCGGAAAAUUCAACACCUCUUUGCGGUGGAUCAGACCGCCUGGUGUUCAGAUUGAAAUAGAUUACCUGUAGUGGCGAUCAAUGUAGUAUGCUCAAAGAUCUUCCAUCGGCAACUAGCCGACAAUCCAGCCCCUCAGGGCACAUCGACCAUAUAGGUCAUCAGCAACUAGUCGGCUACGUAAGUUAAGAUAGAACUGUAGCAACUCGACCGAAUAGGUCAUAGAUAUCAAAAUAGGGGAACCACCCAACCAAAUCACAGAUAUAGUGAACAGAUAGGUCAACUCUACUUCUAAGUAUGAUAUCGACAUGGAAAUAACUGAGUAGAGGAAUGCAGAUAUAAAUGCAGGUGCAAGGUUCAAUAUAACUGUAAGGUAGAGUAAACAGUAGGGGUGAAGAAGCGUCACCGAGCGUGCACCACUGUAUCGACUACGGGUCGAAGUACCCACCUGUACAACUGUCGCGCCAGUCUCCUGACUGCAAAAGAACGUCAACCGGACCUAAGGAGGGUCCACUGGGUUAGUGUCUAACCCACAACUAAGAAACCCUAAAAGCACAACCCCACAAAUAAACCCACGAGAAUCGGUUUCCCAAACCGAUCGUCAUAAUACGCCGGAACUCCCGUAAUCGCACCGAGACUCUGCCGGGACCCACGGACUGUCCCGGAACUCACCGACUCGUACUACGAGUCGCCCGCUGCCACUAAAUACAAUUUUACGUGUGACUUGGCAGCAAAGACCUUAACUCACUCCAAAAUGAUUAUCGUCGGAUAAUCGUUCCGAACCGGGUUCCCGGAAGUGUAUAUUUUGACACCGGAACCCACCGUCGCUCACCCGUCAUCUCUGAACUCUCGAAAUGACGUGAGUGACCAGCCAACAAGGCUCAGCGACUACACAUCAGCUCACGAAGCACCGUCGGAAUAAUUCCGAACUGAACCCGCGUUCCGUCGGCGGAUUUCGCCGAGAAACGCACCGGAAAUCACUUUCUGAUUCCCGCAAAGGCUUGGGGCCUUGGACGAUCAGUCCAGAGGCUAUCCUCAGCCCAUACUUGCUGCCAACAGCAGCCACGACGAACAAAGUUGUAUAAAAGCCCUUCCGAAUACCCGAAAUCGCAUUAUUUCAUGCGAUUUUGGCGCUUUUAUGGUCCGUCUGCACAAACCAGAAGUGAAUCAGCGAAGCCGAGACACCCGCUGACAGGUCUCGGCAUGCCGGAUGCCGUGCUCACCUUUCGGAGCAAUUUCGGCCACUGUGGAGAGCGCGGGAGUGAUGCGAAAAUCUGCGAACAGCGCGCACAGCAUGAAGAACAUGCUUAUCUCGCAAAUCAGAAGCUCUCAGACUCCAAUGAAGGUGGCCACGAUGAUCAGCACUGAACCAGGAUCAUCGUGCUCACCUUCAGAAGACUCGGGGUGGCCUCGGUUCACCGGAACAAUCACCGAAACCCCAAGACACGGUGCAGAAUAAUUGCAAUACAAGCUUACCGGAGCUAGGCAGGGCUCGGGGUGGCCGGCGGCGGCCGGACGGCGGACAGGCCGGCCAGGGGAAGGUGCUCCAGGUCAGAGGAAGCCGGGGCUCGCGUCAACAGGCGACGGGAGGCGGCGACGACAGAGGGCAACGAUGCCCUAGUCGCACAACCCGAGGAGAGCAUGGGCUCACCACGGUUGACAGGGAGCUUCGGCGGCAGGUUAGCCGGCGGUGGACGGGUGCGGCCGGCCAGGCGGAGCCGGUGAUCGCGCUGGCCGGCGGCGGAAGGCGGCGACGUGCGGAGGCAGAGCUAGCCCCGGCUCGACCCACACUCAGUCUCGGCGGCCGCAGAGAGCAGGGGUGGCGGCCGGCGGCGUCAGGAGCGGCGGCGAUGGCGCGCGGGGUCACCCCGGAGGCCAAAUGAGGCAGGGCGGCCGAGCUAGGGCUGCUACAACUCGCAAGCCUCGAGCUAAGGUCUGCUCGGGCCGAGCUCGUCUGGGUUGCCCGCGGCUUGCUUGGGCGGCGCCGGCGGCGCGCGAGGAUGGUGGGGAUGGCCGGUGCCGGCGCCGGAGAGGGAGAUAUCUUCCCAGGAAGCUUCCAAGAUGGUCUGUGGUCGCUUCCCGAGCAACUUCGGCAGAGAGGAGGAGAGGGUGGUCGAGAGGGGAGGAGAGGAAGAUGACCAUGAGUUUUCCGGCGGCCGGAGUUGCUCGCCGGAGGUCUGGGCACGAGCACAGGCAGGGCAGGGACCUGCUGGGGCUAUCUAGGGCACGGUUGGGGAACUAGGUCGGCUAGAUCUAGGGUUUCUUGCAAAAGAACCCUAGAUGCACAUUGUAUGCAAUGUGCAAAUUGCAGAAAAGUCCUCCCCAUGGUAAGUAAUUUCAGCUGAGUCCCUGACAGGGAGUGUAACUUGCGCGUAUGCACCUCCACGUCUGAUCUCACGCAAUUCGACACAUAAAAUAUAAGGGUUUCGUGUGAAAUACCAAAAAUGCCGCUUUGACCUCUUAGUGAACAUUUCGCGUUUUCCGAAAAUUCGUCCGUCGGAUUUUCGAUCCGACAGCACCAUCGCGUUCAGCACGUCGGGGGCAUCAAAACUACAAUCUUGUUUCAUCCAAUUUGGUCACGGAUUCGCGACGGAAUCCCUCCGCUCUCUAAUUAAUCCAUAAGUCACACAUAGACUUAUGUGAAAACCCAAAAACCUUUAAUUCAAACUCGUAUUUGAAUUCCCUACCACCAGUAGGUACUUGAAACAUCUCUCACCCAUCUCCAGAUCACUAGUACAAAGCACGAGGAGUUUUAAAAUGCACGAAUAGCAAAGAGCGAAAACCCUCUUUUUAUUAAAACUCCUUUUUAUCGAAAACCGUGCAUCGGAUCUGAAAUCCGUCAGUGCCAUUGGUUCCAGAAUAGCUGAACAGAUCGAAACGAGCUAUUGGAUCGCUAUGAACGGAGUCCGAUACGCGCCGAAAGCCAACUCUACUCCGUUUCUUCUCCGAAAAACCGGAGUUACUAUUCACUUUAAGUGAAAACUAAUAAUCGCGUAUCUUCUCCAUUCUAGCUCAUUUUCUCCUAAAACUUGACGAGUGCUUAUGUAAUUAAAUUACACACAUAAACACCGUCAACAGAGAGUUUAGUUGCAUUGUAAAAAUCUCAGUCCUUACAUUAUCCCUCCCUUAAAAGAAGUUUCGUCCCCGAAACUUGACCACGUACCCACUGAAAUCGCAAUCAGACAUUGCUCCACCAAUGUACUGGUCAUUCAUAAAUCUUCGAAUUUGGGCAGAUCAAACUUCUAAGAAGGGAAGAUUAGGACUGCAGUUCCACUCUCACAAAACGAGGGGAAAACGUUCCGACCUAAAAUCUACAAACCAAAACUCACCGGGAUUAACAUUAUCCUAUAAUCUGCGAACAAAAACAGUCCCGCUGUAAGGAUUAUCUGAUCCCAAUAUUACCAAAUCUGAGAUAAUUAAGCAACAUUCAGAAAUUUAGGUCCACUCUACCUUGGUCCGCAUAGCCGUAACCGACUCGACUACGUCGCAAGUUCACAUAGAAAAGUCACGAGACAACCACUUUAAUCUAGAGUCUAUUUACGUAGACUGAAACAAAAAACACCAACUAUCCAACAAUGUCAACCUGCUCACCAAGAGCGAAUACGAAACGUUGUUCUAAGACCUGAGUCAAAAUUCUCGCUUUGGAGACCACAGUCUCCUACCAGUAACUACACAAACUGCCAAAACCUCAUCAACGAAAAGUCACCUGCGACAAUCUAUAGUCCUAGGUCCAAGACCUCACUUUCCACCUGACCAAAAGGUCCAACUGACGAUACCAAUUGGCUAGACAAUUUUUUUGUCUCCUCAAACUUAACCAGUACCAAUAGACCACCGAAAGCUCUUUGCAAGUCCAUCACUUGAUGCACAGGUCGCCAAUCGCAAAAGCGAUACUAACUAUCGGUGAUGCUCAACACUGGUCUCCACAAGACCCUGUCGCUGCCGUCCUACCAUGGACCCUAGCGAUCGAUGUUCCGAGCAACACCAAAUGCCUGUCUCAUUGAGACCCUGGCGCACCUGUCACCAAAUAAUCGGACAAGCAUAACCUUCCAAGGUUUGCGCGAUAAGCCGAGCCGCAAACCUUAUACGCUAUCACAUACGGUGACAAUCAAAGCCAACACCCAUGCUCAAGUCACUCCACAAUUGUGAUUCCGAACCUCUCGAUAAUAGACCGAGACUAUUAAAUAACCAAACCUUUUAGUUGUAACAGGUACAACUAAAGAACUACGAACAAUUAGACUCAAACUAGAGUCAAAAUCCUCGGUAGUGAUGAUAAAUCAACUGCGCAAAACCUACCAAAGAACAGUCCAAGGCUCGCUACAUGGUCAUAGAUGACUAUCACUCGAGCUUUCCCACCAGACACUCUAGAGAAAAAUACCGACCCAAUCCAAAAGUCCCCAAGCAGGGAAAGGGUAUUUCGUCCCACUUUCGACAGUACAUUGUCUGCAGUCAAUGUACUUAUCAAAAGAAAGCGAAAUAUUCGAAAAUCUACUACCAACAACAAGUUGGAAGCGCAACACGUCGAAGUAUCAAGCCCCUUGAUACCUCUUAACUGAACCGGAAGCUCACAACCAAUACUAUCGAAACAUCGACUUUACAAGUCGACAUUCGAAAUCAGAACGACCCUGAAGCGACUCAUAGGGAGUCCUAUGACUUUCAACAUCCGAAAGCUACUAGCGACAUUAAGCCGCGAACUGUACCAACUGAGGCUUCAGGAAACGGUUUCUCUAACUGAUUUCCGCACCACAAACGAGCUAUAGUCAAAGCUCCGAGAAUUUCGACAAUACUUGGAGUAACUCGAGUCAAGACAGAUCCUACUAAACCAUCAACUAUCCCCUGACAUCAAUUUAGGUGUCAGAACAAUCGCAUACGAUGUAUGUUUCAACAGGGACCUGACACCAAAACUGUGUCAAUCUGACUCUGGUAGGAAGAAUGAACGAGGUAAAGGUCAAAAGAUUCGAACCGCUGAUUCCAAUCAGCAAUCAAAGAGGAGAGGUAGGCAUCGCAACCCUACCCAAAGAUCUGUGGAAGCAACACUAACAAUGCAGUCGCCUAAACGACCGCUACCAAACCCUGGGCUACACCCUAGUAGCCCCACUGAAGUCACGAUCGUAACUGAUCACAGUGCCGUCUCCGUAGAGACACUCGCAACAGCUCUCGUGUCCUAAGUAGAGAGAGUGGCCUGGGCGUCGACAGUUAUGACACUCGCUUAGGCCCGAAAAUCUCACUUGGCCCUUCACGACCCCACCUGACAGGAGUGGCAACACCUGGGGAAUAUCGUCCCUAGGUCGUACAAGUGUGGCAUCGAACCUAGUGUUAAUAAAUAUAGGUUGUACAAGAGUGGCAUCAAACCUAGUGUUAGAGAACAUAGGUUGAGAUUAAACCUAGAGUUAAGUCAACCUAGGUUGUGAGAUAAAGAUAGCGAACCUAGAGUUAAAGUAACCUAGGUUAUGUGAUAAAAGUGUUAAACCUAGAGUCAAGUGGACCUAGGAUGGAAAGGACAUUGGACCUAGAUAGGUCCAUACUAUAGGGUUAAGACCAACCCUUGAGUUAUGUGAAAUGGAUUCUGGAAUCUCAGAGCUUAUGGAACACCCAAAGUGGUGUUGGGCGUGUGCGACGAUUUCGCCGCCGGAUGGGUGAGCCGAAUUGUGAUUUAUACCGGUUGAGCCGGUUUGUGGAUCAUACCGCUGGUUGACUCAAACCAUCGACAUGGCAUGUGCGACGUUUCACCGCCGGGUGGCUAGGUCAUAGAGCGCGGUGAGCUGUGGAAGGUUGAGGUGCAUGUAUAAGUUCCUUCACCUCGAGCUGGACAGAGCGCGGAUUAUCCGCAGUGGAUUGACUUAAGACCGAGUCGAGUGGCAUGGUGUGACUAAGGUAAGAGUAACCUUAGGAAAGAAUGACAAAUGAGCAUUAUAUGACUAAGGUGUGAGUACCCUUAGUAAAGAAUAAAGAAUAACUAAGAAGAAAGAAUAGCUAAGAGUAAAGAAUAGCUAAUAAAGUAAAAAUGGCUAUAAGUAAAGAAUGACUAAUAUUAAAGAAUGUCAAGAAUAAAGAAUUGCAAGUAGUAAAGAAAGGCUAACGCUAAAGAAUGGUAAAUGAUAGAGAAUAAACUCAGUAAUCUACUUGCAUAGUUGCAUGGAUUUUAUAUCGCAUAUUAUGAGGCAUAGCAUAUUUUUCCUUAUUCGUAUAUAUAUCUGUUGGACUAACAUGUUGCAGUACCUCCUUGGACCUAUUGGUCCUGCUUUUCCCUUGGGUGGCCGUACCCACUGGGAACCAUGGAGUUGGUUCUCAUCCCACGUUGUUUUGGGGUGUUACAGGUUCGCACGUGAACGGCACGGCGGCGCGAGGUAAGGGCGUAGCUCCGUAGAUAGCGGCCCUACCCCCGAGACUGAGAUAGCGGUACCCCGAGGUGGUCUAGCUUAGGGGUUUGAAGACAAAGAACACAAAUGUAUCAAACUUGAAAUAAUUGUGUUAACUAGAUUGUAUUUUGGAAGUUGAUUGUAAAAGAAAAUUGUGAUGUAAAAUACACCUAAGAUGAAUGUUGUAAUAACUUAGUUGUUUUAUGUUUUUGAUAUUUCCUUAUGCAAUCUUUGGUUGAAUUCGGUUCCUGGUUGGAAUAUUGUGAAUUGUAUCGAUUGCGACGCCUUGGACGUACAGGGGAGACUCUGUCCGCGGUACAGGAAAACCUUGUCCGCUCGGCGGUUUGUUGGCGUGCCCGAACUCGACCAAAUAGCCGGGGCACAGGGCGUGACAAAGAAUUUGACACUUUUGUGCCAAGGUUCAUUUUUCUUCCCUUUUUCUCUUCUCAUCCUUUCUUAUUUUUCUUCGAAAUUUUGUGUUUUUUAUGAGAACAAGCAUGAAACAUGUGACCAUCUAUUCUCAAUAAGCAUAUAUCUUAGAUAUUUGAUGUCUUCCUAAAUUGAUUAUUGUUCAGUAGUAUUUCCAACAGAUGCACAAGAGCUAUGGGAAACAUUCAAUAUCUAUCAAAUGACACAGAGAGAAAAAAAGCUCAACUUACUAUUAGAUGCUUGGUAGGUGAUUUAGAUAGACCGGAACAAUACUAUCCUCUGAAAUCAUACCUAAAAUCCUAUACAAACCAUAUCCAACAUUCGACACUAAGAGUCUUGAAAGGAAUCCUUGCCCUAGCUCGUUCUUUAACUUUUCAAAUCUUUUCCCCAUAUUCAUUUCAUCUUUUUAUUUUAUUUAUGUUUUUUGCUUAUUCUUUGGUUCCAGUUGUCUCACCCUUAUAACUAAGUUCAUUUACCUGUAUGAAUUCAACAAAUAGCUUGCUAUCUUUUUCUAAAAAAUAUAACAUUUUUUACGAAUAUUAAAAAAGGGAUAAUUGCCUAUAUGCCUAUCAAAAAUUUUAAAAUAUUUUAUUUAUCCUUACUUUUUUUGUUUUAAAUAUAUCCAUCAUAUAUUUGUCCGUUAUUUAUCGUUGUUGGUGCCCGUCAAGUCAUCUCGGGUUAAGUUUGAGUUAAAUUUCUAUCAUAGUUAAAAAAUAAUAAAAAUAUCUAUUUUGUCCCUAAUUUAAAGGCAAAUAAGAAAAGUUAGUAAUGGUAGAAAUGUAUAUUUAAAAGGGCAAAAAGUCAAAAUAUUUUUUUUGCCUUUGAAUUAAGGGCGAAUAAGAAAAAUAUUGAUGAUGAUAGAAGGGUAUAUUUGAAGAGCCAAAAUGAUAAUUUUACAAAGAUAACAUUUCUUUCUAACAGUUUACUAACAUAAUUUAAGUUUAAA
rnacentral:lncRNA from 1 species